CCGCGGUAAUACGUAGGGGGCGAGCGUUGUCCGGAUUUAUUGGGCGUAAAGGGCGUGUAGGCGGUUUGUUAAGCCAGAUGUGAAAGCCCCGGGCUCAACCUGGGAACUGCGUUUGGUACUGGCAAGCUAGAGUACGGCAGAGGGGGGUGGAAUUCCACGUGUAGCAGUGAAAUGCGUAGAGAUGUGGAGGAACACCGAUGGCGAAGGCAGCCCCCUGGGCCGAUACUGACGCUCAGGCACGAAAGCGUGGGGAGCAAACAGG
rnacentral:rRNA from 1 species